rnacentral:rRNA from 1 species
UACGGAGGGUGCAAGCGUUGUCCGGAUUUAUUGGGUUUAAAGGGUGCGUAGGUGGCCCGUUAAGUCCGGGGUGAAAGCCCACUGCUCAACAGUGGAACUGCCCUGGAUACUGGCGGGCUUGAGUCCAGACGAGGUUGGCGGAAUGGAUGGUGUAGCGGUGAAAUGCAUAGAUACCAUCCAGAACCCCGAUUGCGUAGGCAGCUGACUAGGCUACAUCUGACACUGAGGCACGAAAGCGUGGGGAGCGAACAGG